rnacentral:rRNA from 1 species
GACAGAGGCCUCGAGCGUUAGGCGGAAUCACUGGGCUUAAAAGCGUGUGUAGGCGGGCCCGUAAGUGUCUUGUGAAAAUCCCCACGGCUCAACCGUGGAACUGCUGGGCAUACUGCGGGUCUUGGGCCAACUAGGGGCAGCCGGAACAAGCGGUGGAGCGGUGAAAUGCGUAGAUAUCGCUGGAACGCCGAAGGUGAAAACAGGCUGCUGGGGUUGCGCCGACGCUGAGACACGAAAGCCAGGGGAGCAAACGGG